UUAUAUUGCAGUGAUAACGGUGGUCGUGUUUUUUUAGCAUGAAGACGGAUUCAACGUCGUCAACAGGUGUGAAAAGAAAUGGACGUGGAUCGUGGUAAAAGUGUUGAGACAAUUUCCAAGAAUCAAAAGAAAGCACAUGCAUCAGGUAUUCUCAUGUGGGGAGCUCAUAUGAUUCACCUAAUAUUGGAUUAAGGUAGUUAUUGGGUGAAAGUUUGGAAAGCUGGAGAGGCCUUUUUUGAAAGUAUACGACCUCCACAUAUGGGAUUGUAGCUUAGCAUUGGUGUAUGUUCUAUUUUUUUGUAUUUUUGUUCCAGUUUUUAAGUUUUUUAUAUUGUAUAGAUGACAUGAUAUUUUGUAAUUAAUUUUUUUGACAUUAUUUUUGCAUAAUUUCCUUUCGUAUUGAUAGUGAUUAUGAUGCAUAUAUGUCCACUAAUGCAUUUAUUGAUCCUUUUUUUAUGUUUGAGUUUUCUUUGCAGCUGCUGAAAAGAGAUGAUUCGUCCAGGCCACUAUCGGAUGCUCACCGUGUGAAGAUUUAUAUUCACUUUUUCUCAACAUCUGAUCAAGGCUUUUUGUUUACUUCUUAUUGCGUGUCAUUGUAUUUUGACAAGAGACACCGAGAAUGAGUACGACCCAAUUUCCGUCCAGAUACAUGAAUCUAGCCUACUAUAACUCAUAUGUGUAUAAGGAAAUGUUGUCAAAAUAUAUUUGAUUUUCGAUGAUUUUGGCAUUAAUUCUUUUUUGUAUAAUAUGUAGUGGUUUCCAUAUUCACUAUAUUCAAUUUUCA